CUGACCUUGACAUCCUCCUGAAUGUGGAGUAAUGUCUGCAGCCCUUCGGGGCAGGAGAGACAGGUGGUGCAUGGUUGUCGUCAGCUCGUGUCGUGAGAUGUUGGGUUAAGUCCCGCAACGAGCGCAACCCCUGCCCCCAGUAGCCAGCAAUUAAGAUGGGCACUCUGGGGGGACAGCCUGGGAUAACCAGGAGGAAGGCGGGGACGACGUCAAAUCAUCAUGCCCCUUAUGGCCAGGGCUACACACGUGCUACAAUGGCGUAAACAGAGGGAAGCGACGCAGCGAUGCCAAGCAAAGCCCAAAAAUAACGCCUCAGUUCGGAUUGCAGCCUGCAACUCGGCUGCAUGAAGCCGGAAUCGCUAGUAAUCGCGGAUCAGAAUGCCGCGGUGAAUACGUUCCC
rnacentral:rRNA from 1 species